rnacentral:rRNA from 1 species
UACAGAGGUCUCAACCGUUGUUCGGAUUCAUUGGGCGUAAAGGGUGCGUAGGCGGUCGGGUAAGUCGGAUGUGAAAUCUCAGGGCUCAACCCUGAAACUGCAUUCGAUACUGCCGUGGCUGAGGGAUCUGGAGAGGAGACUGGAAUUUACGGUGUAGCGGUGAAAUGCGUAGAUAUCGUAAGGAAGACCAGUGGCGAAGGCGGGUCUCUGGACAGUUCCUGACGCUGAGGCACGAAGGUCAGGGGAGCAAACGGG